UCCUCUGGUUCAUUGAGUUGGAUAAAGUAGCAGCCAUGUUCAGCAGACUGAUCACGAUUCUGUUGGUGUUAGGUGCUGUGAUCACCUUGCAGUGCCUUACUUACACUGAGGCAGUAACUAGUAAAUGGCCGUAUCACCGCAGACGUAGAAAUGGAAAAACGAGUUUCAAAAACAGGCUGGAGGCAAAAGACGAAGAAGCAGGCCCAGCCGAGUUCUUACCAGCACGAAGACUGUCGCGAUCCUGAAACUUUUGGAUGUGAGGCCGAGGACUAGUACAUGAUAUUAUCGCGAACUUAAAAUGCAUUACAUUUGUCUUUUGAAAUUGAAUUCACAGUUAUAUCUGUGAAAAUUGACAUAGUGUAAGCAAAUAAAAUCUAUUUGCAUGUAAUUUGA